CAGGUCUGUGAGGAUGAGAAGGUCUCCACAGUCUGGAGUCUGGUCUCUGACAGGCUCAACAUACCUGUCAAUCAACAGGGACUCCUCUACAAAGGCAAGGCGCUGGCAGGAUUACGAGCGGAGGCUGCGCUUGUUGAGCCUGGAUGAUAUGGAGCGGCUGGCGACCCGCAUGCUUCACCCUGAGGCGGUGGAGUGCAUGGAGCUGUCCUUCCUGGACUGAGGAAUACUGCUGCUGCCCUCUCCCCUCUCUCCUCCCCCUCUCCCCUCUCUCCUCCCCCCUCUCCCCUCUCUCCUCCCCCCUCUCCUCAUUACUCUCUCCUCCCCCUCUCCUCUCCUCUCCUUACUUUGUUUAAAAGAAUAGAAGCACACCCAGUGAGCAAGGCAUUGAGCAGCCCCACAUCCCGCUUCACAAUACCGCUACAUAUUGACUGACUGUUUGCAUUGUGUGUGUUUGGUAAGACAAACCACAUUUUCUACUUCUACUUUCUACGAUUGGGCAAGUCAGCGGUUGUUUGAUAACAGAACAUAAAACAUCACAGAGCGGGUUGAACUGCAUUGCUGCAAAUCAAGGCCCUUUAAAAUGUGUACCUUCCCAGCUCAGGUAUUGCUGAGGUAAAGAGACACUUCCUACAGGAGGACAGGACGUUGUCAAGGAGGGGAUGUCGUCACGUGUCCUGAGGGCUUUCUUAAAAACAUUGUUUUAUUAUUUCUAAGCGUACGUUGUUACUGCCUUUUAGCUCUUGAGCAUAAUAAUCUCAAUCCCGUUUGAAAUGACACUAAGUGCAUUUGCAUGGUGCAGAUGAGGGAUGUCGCUUCACUCGAGGCUUGCGUACUGAUGAAGAUGUAGUUUCAGUGUUUAAUGCUCAUCCCCUCACUGUGUGUGUUCUUGUCUCUCGCCUGUCCUGUGAGGAUGAAGAUGUAGUUUCAGUGUUUAAUGCUUAUCCCCUCACUGUGUGUGUGUGUGUUCUUGUCUCUCGCCUGUCCUGUGAGGAUGAAGAUGUAGUUUCCGUGUUUAAUGCUCAUCCCCUCACUGUGUGUGUGUGUGUGUGUGUGUGUGUGUGUUCUUGUCUCUCGCCUGUCCUGUGAGGAUGAAGAUGUAGUUUCAGUGUUUAAUGCUUGUCCCCUCACUGUGUGUGUGUGUGUUCUUGUCUCUCGUCUGUCCUGUGAGGAUGAAGAUGUAGUUUCCGUGUUUAAUGCUCAUCCCCUCAGUGUGUGUCUGUAUGUUCUUGUCUCUUGACAGGUCUUUGAGGAUGAGAAGGUCUCCACAGUCUGGAGUCUGGUCUCUGACAGGCUCAACAUACCUGUGAAUCAACAGGGACUCUUCUACAAAGGCAAGGCGCUGGCAGGUAGGCUGAACAGCACAGCACAGCACAGCACAGCUCACCCCUUGCCUCACCCCUCCUCUCACUCCUCACCUCACCCCGGGUCAGUGUGGCACAGCCUGCCUGCUCUUCUGAACAAACACUUCAGCCCUGCCGACGCAGUGAGAGUCUGGAGCAGCUAUACGAGGAUUACGAGCGGAGGCUGCGCUUGUUGAGCCUGGAUGAUAUGGAGCGGCUGGCGACCCGCAUGCUUCACCCUGAGGCUGCGGAGUGCAUGGAGCUGUCCUUCCUGGACUGAGGAAUACUGCUGCUGCCCUCUCCCCCUCUCCCCUCUCUCCUCCCCCUCUCAACUCCCCAGGCAGGGGAGGUGAGGAGAGGGAGGAGAGAGAGGAACCUGCUACUGAGGGAGCUGCAGCUCUGAGGAGAGGAGAGAGAGGAACCUGCAGCACUGAGAGGUCCAGGUUUGAAGCACUCACUCUUCAUUACUGAUAUUUAAUUCCAGAAGAAACACAAAAUAAAUAAAAAUCUGUGUUGAAGUCUUUGUAUUGGGGUUGUUCAUUUUAAAUGCCAUGUGUUUACAGUUACCAGUUCUACAUUAAACAGCAGAAAUAAUGUUACUGGCUUGCCAGACCCAAGAGCCUUUUCAUUUCUCAGGCUAGCAGACCCUGGCCUUGAAAAAAAGAAAUGCUGCUGCUGUUCUCCUCGGUUCUGCUUUUAUAAACUGGCACCUCUGCAUUGUUAACGAGCUUUGUGAAGCAGAGACGUCUUGUGUUAAUACAAUUCCAUUAUUAUUGAUUGAAUCUGCUUUUCAAAUGCUUGGUGUUUCAAACCGGCUUUAAAAUAACCUUUAUUAUUGAAGUGUGUUCAACAAUCAUUUAAAACAUGAGGCUCUUUCACAAAUCACUGUGAGGGCAAUGAGAAAGUGAAUACGAAACUACCAUGAAACUCCUCCACUAAAUAAACACAUUACAAAAUAGAAACAAAUAGACGUGCGCAUUGAAAACAGAAGAACGCAUUGUAGGCAUUUCAAAAUGAAAUAUACUGAGCCUCUCCGGGACCCGCCAGGACACAGCGGCGAGCGCUUAACCACAACAUUACUGGACAAGCCCGGCGGCUGACCGCCCCCAGCGGCGACCCGAGGAACUCGCAGGAUUUCCAGCGUCCUCGCUGAUCCACACAAACCUAACGACUCGUUCUCUUCAUCUGACGUGAAAGCGCACAACGGGUCUCUUUAUAGACCUGGCAGCGGUGACGUCAUAAGAACACCACCCACCUCCCCUCAUGUGAUAGGCUGCUUCUGUUCUGCUUUUCAGCCAAUCGGCCAUGCAGGGCGUCUUUCCCCCCCGAGUUAACAUCGUGACUGUGAAAUUGUGUGUGGCUUUGUGUGUUCAUGUUACUCUGUGUUCAUGUUAGUCCCUCGUCUCUGUAAGCGCUCAGUCCCGUCCCCAUUGUCUAAAACAAGCAACGGUACAUCGCAUCUCCUCUUCAGUCACUGCGUGUAAACUGGAGCACGUGAAGCGUCCUGUCUCCAACGCCAUAGAGUUCACACAAACUGUCUGCAAAUUAAAAAAACUGUUAUAUUAAAACAGCCCUCUGUGAAGCACUGACACGAACGUUUCUUUAUGUUAAACUUAAUGCAAUUCCAUCAGCUACACUCGUUCAUCUGCAAUUCAAAUGUUUGCUGAUUUCAAAACAAUACACGCGUCCAAAUUCAGAUUCCAAAAUACAUUUUAAAAAAGUUUUUUGAGUGGGUGCGGAGCCAAAGCGCAGGCAAGCAGGCAGUGAGGCACACUGCCCCCUCCUGUGGACACACACCGGUACUACAGCCAGAGGGGAAUGUGAUGCUGGGAGUCCUAGCAACACUGCAGCCGAAUUAAUGACGUGUAUUAUUAUGAUGAUGAUGACGAUGAUGUUUGUAGGAAUCACGAUUUCUGUGAUUUAUGACUCAUGCUGUGUUGGGCGUCUCGUAUUUUUAUCAGAGCGAUGUCAUUUUUCACAGUUUUGGUCGCUCAGCUUUCACGGGCAGUUUCCCUUCCCAAGCUCCAGAGGUUCACAGUGAAAACUGCGAACGCUAUCUUCACAAACAGCGACAGACGGGCCAAUCGGGGCGGGGACGUCACAAACGCGCUCGAGUCAUGCGGAGCCGCCGCCACGGAGGCGCUCGGCUCCCUCCAGUGGACACGCAGCGGUACUGCAGUCGGGAGCCGCUGGAAGAUUAUUUGAUGAAUUCCUUACCGAUACGUCUAUCUCGUGGAGAGAAAGUGGAACGGUUACGUCAUGUCCUAAACAAUCUGAUUGGAUAAAAGACAAGUCACAAAUUAAGUGACUUCUGAUUGGCGAACGCAUUUAGCGAAUCAAAAGUUAUAAAUGCGUUACCUAAUUUGUAUAGACCCUAUAGCUGUCCAAGGUGCGCACCUGUUUAAAAAUAUACAUUUAUUAUUAAUAAAACAUUUUUUUAGUACACGUGUCCACGUCAGUAUUUUAAUAAUAUUAUAUUUUCAUGCUUUUAGUGAAGAAUUGUUUUACUAUCAGUCAUAUUUUAAA